UUGCUUGUUCUACAGCACAUGUACUAAAUCUGGAACAAUAUAGAGAAAAUCUGUAUGAUGCAUACUCAAGAUUGACAGACAAAUUCAUAAAGUGUUCCAUUUCCUU